rnacentral:rRNA from 1 species
UACGUGGGUGGCAAGCGUUGUCCGGAAUUAUUGGGCGUAAAGCGCGCGCAGGCGGCCUCUUAAGUCUGAUGUGAAAGCCCCCCGGCUCAACCGGGGGAGGGCCAUUGGAAACUGGGAGGCUUGAGUAUAGGAGAGAAGAGUGGAAUUCCACGUGUAGCGGUGAAAUGCGUAGAGAUGUGGAGGAACACCAGUGGCGAAGGCGACUCUUUGGCCUAUAACUGACGCUGAGGCGCGAAAGCGUGGGGAGCAAACAGG